GCUUUACAGCCUUUUCCUACACAACAUGUUCGGAGAAAAUCAAAUUCCCUAACUACACACCAUUAUGUUAUUACGAAAGGAAUAAUUCCAAAUGACUUUAUAGAAAUCAAAAGCUAUAGAGAAGUGAAACCCCACUUACCAAACCGCACGAAGAACACUGAAAAUUUGAAACUCAACGAUAAGAGCAAAAGAUUGUGAACAAAAAAAUUGAAGGGAAAACAAAAAAAAAGUUACAGAGAAAGGAAGAUGAGGAAACGCCAAAAAGAGAAGAAAUUUUGGGGGAAAAAUAAAAUUAAAAAUAAAAUUUUAAAAAAUAAAAAAAAUCACUAAAUUUCCCACUUACCGACUAACCAACAUAAUCCCACCAAAUCCGACACCUCAAUCCACAUCCAACUACCUCAAAAUUUCAACUCCAUCGAACCUCUAUCAGACAACCGAAACAAAAAUUAUCAUCUACGAUCACACAAGGAUUUGAACAUGAAACCUUAAGGCAAGCUAGCACCUUAUCAUCUAAACCAACAAGCUCAUUCUAAUAUGAUUGACUAGAAAUAAAAUAUAAGCCAAACCGCCAAGG
rnacentral:lncRNA from 1 species